rnacentral:lncRNA from 1 species
UGACGAUAUCAUGGUAUACCCAUUUCUCUAUUGUAUAUAAUUGGCAAGUCAUAUAAUAAUGCACGUUUAGAGUUUAAGAUUUAAAUAUUAUUUUAUUUACCAUUUAUCUUAAGAAUAUUCCUAAUCUCAUGGCGUAUUAAUCUUACUUUAGCCCAUUUGUAGAUUAGGCAUGGGGAGGCUGUUGGAAUAAUUGGGCCUUCUGGGACUGGUAAGUCAACCAUCUUGAAGAUCAUGGCUGGGCUUCUUGCUCCUGACAAGGUAAUUCUCAUUGUCUCUCAUUUUAGAACUAUCUUUUAUCUUGAUAUAUCUUCACCAUUCUGCUUUUCAUAUAGAUUGACUUUCUUCAAGUUGAGAUCUUUGUGAACUAUGUUUAAAUGUUAGGGAGAGGUUUUGAUUUGAGGUAGAAGGCGUCAUGGUUUGAUCAGUGAUGAGGAAAUAUCCGGUCUUCGAAUAGGCUUGGUAUUCUAUAUCAAGUAUAUAAUUCAUAGUUAUCAUAUUAUAAUGAUAUCAAAUGGUUUUUUAAAUCUCUUUUGCAAUGUAACAGGUUUUUCAAAGUGCAGCUCCGUUUGAUUCUUUAACUGUUCGCGAAAAUUUUGGUUUCUUUUUGUAAGACAUGAUUGCGAAUCCUUUAAGAUUAUUAAUGGAUCUUUGUUUCUUUACACAUUUCCAUAAUAUAGUUGUAAAAUUUUCAUAUUUCUAAGUCUCGCAUCUGCUCUUUUUUGCUGUGAAAGAUAUGAGAAUUCAACUAUGCCUGAGGAUCAAAUUGAAGAGCUUGUCACUGAUACUCUAGCUUCUCCUCUCGUCCAAGGCUUCCUAAGUUUUUAGGCUGUCUCCUUCGAUCCUUGUUGCUCUGUCUCAGCAAUGUACUUGCCCUCUUCCUUAGUCUUUUUAUUGAUCUCUCUAUGUACUGAAUUCUCAAUAUUAGGGUAGAUCUUGAACUUCUCUUGCUUAUCUUCCACUUUAAAUGUCAGUUCGUCACUUUCAAAGUCCAUGACAGCGCGACUUUUUGAUAGGAAGGAUUUGCCCAAGAUAAGUAAUACUGCAUCACAUGGCUCUUCUAUAUCUAGGACAAUAAAAUCAACGGGGAACAUGAAUUUGCCCACUUUAAUGAGCACGUUCUCAACCACUCAUCGCGGGUAUUUAUUCAUCCGUCUGCCAAUUGAAGGGAAAUGGAUGUGUCAUUUAGCUUUUGCAAUCCUAAUUUCCUGUGUACAGAGAAAUGCAUUAGGUUUAUUCUUGCUCCUGAGUCACAUAAACGAUUAAAAUGUGAAUCAUUCCCUAUUGAGCAAGAUAUUUUGAGACUCCCUGGAUCUUGUAGCUUAGGAGGUAAUUUGUUCUGUAAGAUGGCACUACACUCCUUAUUUAACUUGAUGGUCUCAAAAUCUGUAAGCCUUCUCUUUUUGGAUAGGAUCUCCUUCAAAAACUUUUCAUAGUUCGAUAUUUGAGAUAUAGCUUCAAUCAGUGAGAUGUUGACAUGAAACUUCUUGAAGAUAUCCAAGAACCUUGCAAAUUGAUCUUCCAACUUUCUCUUUUGUAAUCUCUGCGGAAAUGGGACCGUAGGCACAUAAGAUUUGAUAGGAACGAUUGGCUUGAACUGUAGAUUUUCUAGCUCUUAAGAUGGAACUACUUUGUCUAGUUGUUCAGAUUUAUCCAUUUGCCCCUUAUCUAUAAAAGGUACCUUUUUAUUUUCUAUCAUCCGUCUCUCAACUGUAAUUUCUGGAAGUUGAACCCCAUUGCGUGUAAUGAUUGCCACAACCUCCUCAUUCUCUACAACUUUUAUUAUCAUUACCUACUGCUUAGGAUUUAUCUCAGUGUUGCUUGGCAAUACUCAUUCUUAUCCUUAUGAGAGUGCUUUUGUUAUUUGACCCAUCUGGUUUUCCAAAUUCUUGAUGGCAGUUCCUUGAACUUGCAAGGCUUUAUCUGUUCUUUGUAUGUGUUGUGUAGAGAUCUCCGCCAAUUUAGUAACAAUAUCUUCUAAUGAAGACUUAUUUUCAGCCUAUUGAAAACCUGGCGGUGCAGUCUGCUGUGGCGCAAUCUGAGCUCUCUAAUAGUUGCUCUAUUAAAAAACUUGGAUGAUUUCUCCAGCCUGGGUAGUAGGUGUUAGGAUUCUGAUUGGGUUGCUGUCUUUGCAAAUUUUGAGGAUAAUUUACAUCUUCUAGUGAUUGUGCAAAAGGACUACACACGAUGCAAUCAGCACUUUCAUGAUUUCCUCCACAAUGCUUUCAUUUUUGUCCGACUGCUUGAAUGACAUUCAUCUGAUCCACCUUUUUAGUUAAAACUGCCAGCUGUGCUGAGAUUGUUGUUAAUAGAUCCAAUUCAUGUAUCUUAGCUACUUUCUUUAUACUUGUUCUUUCCGUAUGCCAUAGUGCACUAGUGAAUGCUAAAUCCUUCAUGAUUUGAUAUACUUGAUCUGCUGUUCUCUUUAUGAUGGAACCAUCACAUGUGGAGUCAAACAUUAGCCCUGCUUGUCGGAUUUAGCCCGAUGUAGAAAUAUUGUGCCUGGAGCUAUUUUUGCAAUCCAUGCUGUGAACACUGACGAUGCAGCCCCUUAUACCUUUCCCAAGCUUCAUAAUAGCACUUUGAGUCAAGUUGAUAGAAUGUGGUGAUUUCGUCCAUCAACCUGGCAAUCCUUUUAGGUGGAAAAUAUUUGUUCAGGAACUUCUGACUCAAACUAUCUCAACUGGUGAUGCUGUGUGGAGGAAAAGUAUCCAUCCAUUCCCUAGCUGAAUCUCUCAAAGUGUAAGGAAAAAGCCUUAGCCGAAUUGCUUCGCUUGAAACACCUGAAUAAUCGAUUGUUGCACACAUGUCUAAGAAUCUUGAGAUAUGAGCAUUGGGAUUUUCAAUAGGUUUUCCAAAAAAUUGCAGUGUAUUUUAGAACAUGUUGAUCACAUCUAUCCUCAAGUGAAAAUUUGGUUGACCAAAUGUCGGAUAUACUAUACUGGAUUGGCUCUCCACGACUGGUGGAACCAUAUACUCUCCCAUCAAUCUAUCGUUUUCGUUGGCUGCAACUUUAUUCGGUUGCUCUACACCCGGAUUAGCCUUGAUGGCUAUUUAAUUUGGAUUUUGUUCUGCCAUGAGCUCUGCUUGCUAUUUUUGGUGUGUUUCUAAUUGUUCUCUUCUCCUUGACCUGAACGUUCACUCGAUUUCUGGAUCAAAUUGAGCAAGAUCUCCGAUUCUCGAACUUUGCAUACAAAGUCCUGGAAAGGAAAAAUAGAAAACACUGUAGUAUUUUUCUAAAUUAAUGAACUGACUAAAAAAAUAUAAAAAAUUAAAAUAAAAUUCAGAUUAAAGUUAAAUUAGUUAAAACUUAUUAAAAACUAUAGUCCACGGUAACGCCGCCAAAAACUUGGUCGUUUGAUUUCCUGUAAUUAAACGGGAUCGUGGACAAAUAAUAAAGUGAUGUGUAGGUUCGAUCAACUUAAAGCUAACACUACUCUUAAUCGAAUAGUAAAAUCGAGUUAUAAUUAAAAAUUAUUAAAUCUGUCAACUAAUUUAAAAGCAAUGUAAAGAAAAUUUAUCAGAUUCGCAAAAAAUAUUGCUAAAAUGUAGAAUUUCCCUUAUUAAUCUAUUUUUAGUUCGAUGAUUUAAAUUGAUAAUUUGAAGUCAUGCUUGUUGGUCAAUGUUAUUAUUUUAAUUGAAACAUCUCUCGAUAGUUAUCAAAUCUAUUCCCCUCACACGACCUUCCUAUCUUUUAAUGAAAGAUGCGAACAUGAUAAAUGCAUUAAACAAGAUAGGACAUCUUAUAAAAUCAUGUGAAGUAUAGAGGUAUAUUUCUAUCCUCUAUCGAACUUUGCAAUAUUUAUUACUAUGUGCUAACGAUCUUAUUACCUCUCUCGAUGAUAAUAAAAUUCACAAACAAUUCAAUUAAUGGCCAGAUAAUUAAAAAGCAAUUUAAACCAUAAUAAACAUCCAAAAAUUCAAACAAAUUUAACGUCAAUCUAAUUAUUCAUACCAAAAAUUUAUAACAAGAGUUCAUUAUAUCCUAGGAAUAUAAAAAUCUAGCCAUGCAUAAUGUUGAAAUUAAACAUGGAAGAGUUAAAAGGCAUCACCAAAAUUUUUGACAGAACGUGAUUUAUUCUUCUAUCCACAUGCCUUCCGUCCGCCGUCUAUACGUGUAUUUAUCUUCAACUCUUCACUGCCUCUUUUCUUUGAAUCUUCCGUGUUUUUGCAGUCUAUAUAAUAAAGCAUACAGCACCUUUUUAUUUCCAGCAGCCCCAAAUCUCUAAAUGCGUGAAUGUACUUUGUCUCCCCACCGAAUUCCCUUUUUUCUUCUCUCCAGCCGCCGUUCUUGUGAUUAUAUUUUCUCCAGCCGACUCCUCCAAUGUGUGUAAAAAAAAUAAUAUUGCUGCCCACUUUUCUCUCUUUUUCCACCCACCAAUUCAGCCCAACAAACUCUCCCCAAAGCUGCUUCAAUUUAUGUUAUUAAAUUGGAUAUAAUCCAGCAGCAGCAGCCGCCAUCUUUUUGUGUUCCCAUUCCUAGCAGCUCGGCUUUUUUUCUUUAUUGUGCGGAAUCUAAUAAUCUCGGCUGCCCUCUUUAUUCCUGUAGACGUGGCAUAUAUAUAAUAACCUAACAGCCCACUAAUUGAUUCCAAAAAAGACUCCAAUUCCCCAUCUAAUUGAGGCCCAAUUAUAAUUUCACCCUUUUUCACUCCAAGACCUCAAUUCUUUUAAUAUAAUGAAAUUCAAUCAUUGCCCAAUAAAUUUGUUGCAACCCAUAUAUUCUUUGAUUCAGUGCAAGUCCUUCACUUUCCAAAGUAUGAAAUUUGAUAUGCAAGCUUUGCAUCCAAUGGCCAACUUAGUACCCGUACUUUGGAUUUUGCCAUCUUUCGCCAAUUUUUGUUUAUUCCUUCAAUUCCUUUUCAUUUAUAGAAUUUACUUAUUAAACAUAAAAUACAACAAUUUAUGAUAUGAUUUGUCAAAAGAACUAUCAAAUAUUACUAUUUUAGGACCCAAAUAAGAGUGUAAAAUACACUUAUCAAAAAGCUUGCUUGCUGCCCUGGUAUUGAGAAUACAUUUGGAAUUGCUAUAUUCUUUGCUACCUCUUUUCUCUUUAACUUCAAUAGAUAGUUAAUGCCUAGCUUGAUUGAGUUUAAACAAAACUAAGAUUUUAAUCCUACUUUGGUAUUUCCUUCUUUCUUUAGUUAUGGGGAUUGUAGAAAUGCAUGGUGAACAUUGCUGAUGCAAUCAUAGGUGUAGACAGCAUUUUGGAGAUCUUUAGUCAAUAUAGAAACUACAUAACACUUAAAAUAGAUCUACACACAGCGCCAGAGAGUGGAUGGGCAAUCUCAGGGUAGAUAGGAUAAAGACUACACAAUGACAGCUCUUCUGAUAUGAAAUUGUAUUUUUCUUUAAGCUCGAAUAAGUUUAAUUGAAAGGUGGUCAUUUGCCUCUCUGGUGAUAGUUGCAUUCACAUCUGAGCAGGUGCUCCUGUACGAUGAACCAACUGCUGGACUGGAUCCAAUUGCAUCUACUGUAGUUGAGGAUCUCAUCCGCUUUGUUCAUAUCAAAGGCAAGGACGCACUUGGGAAGCCUGGAAAGAUUGCAUCAUAUGUUAUUGUCACUCAUCAACAUAGUACAACUAGAAGAGCCGUUGAUAGGUACGCAUCAAUUUUUAAAACUUCGUUUAAGUUCAUCCAUUUUACAAUUAAGGUAAUUGUCUUUCGGGAUGCUUGUUGGUAAUCUUUGUUGGAAAAUUACACCGAUAAUUGUGCAUAUUAUAUUCACAAUAAACAUAUCGUUUAUUUGCAUGAAAUCGAAACGUAUUCCAACUUACUGAAAUUGGAUUUAAUAAGGCAAAAUGAGAAUUUACCGAUUUUGAAGAGUAUGAAUGUGGAACCUUCUCUUUCGAUUUUUGAACGAUUGAACUGAAUCUGAAGAAUAUGAAUCUUUCGAUUCUUGAACGAUUGUACCUUGCAAUAUAAAUAUAUAAAUUAGAUUAAUCAUUUUCUAAAAUUAAAUCAUAAUAAAAGGAAAUCAGAAAAUGAGAAUGAAGAUGCAGGUGAUGAAUUUUUGGCCGAGGUAAGUGUUGAACACUUUGUCCUUAAGAUGAAGUUGUCCCACAUCGGUGCUAACGGUUUUUCGGCAAUCAUCUCCCAAGAUACAACCACCACGUCAAGUUAUAGGAGCACUCCAAAUGACUUUGACCAGCAAACUCGAACUGAAUUCCCUCUCUACAAUGAUCAUGACCAUGACUUUGAUGCAAAUGUUUUAUGCAAAACCAAAGUAUAAAUUGGAAUGAAAUAAUAUGGUAUCUAUGACUUUUCUUGAAUGAAUAAAAUUCAAACACAUGGGGUCUAUAUAUAUAAUAGUUGGAAAUGUAUGUCAAAAGACACAACUAUACCAAGAAACACAUCUCUUGGAAUUCAUAAUUAUUGGACAUUAAUCAUACCCAUACCAAGAGUCGUGAUCUUUCAUACGAAAAGUCACAUUUUUUCCUCCAUAUAUUUCUAGAAUAUUCCACAAUAUUUUAUACGAUUUUUCCAAUAAUUUUCAGUAUUUAAGCGGUUUACAUUUGACUUAAUUUCUCAUUCACCAAAUUAAGAAUUCCACUUAGAUAAUUAUGUAAACUUUUAGAUACAAAAUUUCAACACUCUUCUCCUCCAAAAUUAACACCAUAUGUAGGCUGUUAUUUCUCCAUGAAGGAAAGGUCUUUUGGCAAGGGAUGACUGAUGAAUUCUCCUCAUCAACAAAUCCAAUUGUUCGGCAGAUAAAAUUUAUUAUUCUCCUCAUGAAAUCUAACAAUUUUCUUUCCAUUAUUGUUUGAAUCCUCCCACGGGAAUCCGUUGUGCAGUUUCAUUGAAUAUUAUGUGCACAAGAAUUUCAGAAACAUUAAAAUGACAUUGAGUAAGUAACAUGAUAACCCCACUCUUGUUUUAACUUCACCGUUUCUAUGUACACCAGCCCACAAGCUUGCAUUUGCACAAAUUGUAGAUGUUUGAUUGACCGCAUUGCUUUUUAUUUACCACAUAAUUGGAUACUUUCAGUUUGCAUCUGGGAGCUUGGAUGGACCCAUUAGAUAUUAGCAAAUUGAGGCAACACACUGAAUAUGGGUUCUUGAAUACCAAUUUCUUCAUAUUUCAAGUCAUAUUUUAUGACAAUUGAGACGUGAUAGAUUUUCCCCCGUGAAUUGGAGUGAGGAAUAGUUUCAAGUUUGAUGAAAUGUUCAAUGGCCCGGCAAUACAGUCCACCGACAUCCCCCUUUCCCCAGUUUUGUUCCGUCCGAUUAUUCUUCCUUCAGGCUUUGCUUUAUACUCGGGUCAUAUGGGGCCUUGUUGGAUAGCAUUGUCAACGUGAAACGAGUUGAAAUAGAACUAGUUGUGAUGCCUACUUCAUUAGAGGAACUCACUCUCCUUGUGUUUUGUAAGAAUCAAAAUUGAUGCACAGUAGCAUUUUUAGGUAUAGUUGUAACUAACAGAAAUGAUAAACUGAUGUACCAUUGAUUGAUGAGAUAUAAUCCCACUUUUAUUUCUUUGGCUGGGAUUUAGUUCUUGCAUCAGUUCAUAUGUUUCCGCUUUCGAUAUUUAUUUUUGUUUCUGCAUAUUGAGCGGAAACUUGAG